GUCAGUAGGAUCGUUUGAUAUAGGAACCCAUUUACCUAAACAUUUUAACUCGCGUCAUCAAGGAUUUUGACUAAUUCACUUCUUGCAUCAUAAAAAUAAGAGUCAUGUUGAGAAGAAGUCUUCGUUUGGAGGAUGCAGGCUAUUACACAGAGGAGGGGACUCCAAUCAUUUCCUACAGGGAGGCCUGUUACAGGGUCUUUCAGAGGAGGAAAGGUCACCGUAGUCAUCACCACGAGUCAGUAGGCCACGAUGAAAACACCAGUAACACCAGUGAGACACAAAAUCUGAAUAUUGAGACCAGAGUCCCCACUCAGGCCAAUCACACUCGGACCCCUGCAGUACAGAUCAUCAUCAGCUGUCUCUGCGUCCUGCUCCUUCUGGUCGUUGGUGAGUUUCGUCCAAAUCUUGUCAAUAGUAGUGGUGUAAAUAAAACAAUCAUGGUAUAUAAUAUAUUGAUUCUUAAGACAACAAUACAAUAUUUACUG